rnacentral:misc_RNA from 1 species
UUCUGUCUUUUUACCUGCCUUGCUCCCUGCACGUGUAACCUUGGUCCCACCCUCUCUUAACUAAUCGGACUACAUGUUAUUAAUCCUUUGCUCUGAUUAUUGUCACGUGCACUAACACGUGCUUUAUCACUACUUGAAACAUCUAAUCAACACAACAAACCGCACAUAACCCCGUAACCAAAAACUAUGCCGUCACCGUCACCGUGACGGUUGCCUAUUUUUAUUAUUAAAAUAUUAAAUCACAAAAAAAAAAUCCAUUUCCAUACAUAAAACAAAAUUAAAAAACAAAAACAAAACUGACGCUAGAACACAUCCGAUACUUUUCUUCCCGCCGACACAGAAAUUUACCAGCGAACAGGCAAUGCCGGUUCAAAUGGCGAUGAGAGCAUCCGACCCAAAUAAAUCCUCGAUAUCUUGGAAAUGGUCUGCCAUGCUCCAGUUAGAGAAUUCGAAACCAAAAUCUCCACUGGAGUCCAAAAACAUGUCCUCGAAAUCGUCUUUUAGAAAUCCGUCUUGCAUACUCGUUUCGUGAAAUAUGUCUUGCAUGGAACUCUGAAAGUCAAACAUAUCGUUGGGAAACAAAGUGUUGGUCGAAGGAUACUCUGAAAACUCCGAGAAAUUCUCUGAUACGCUCGAUUCUUCUUUGAUUUCUCGGGCUUCUUUGCUGGAAACUCUACUUUGAGAUUCGGCUUCUUCGUUGGAGGAAGUUGAGGAGGGAAACCUAAGAACAGAAGUUGGAGAGCAGAUGGUGUUGUUGUUGUGAGACUCCUCGCCGGAGUUGUAGUCGGAGCUUACAGCCGGCUUUUCUGGCGGCGAAUCUUUAGCUGGAGGGGUAACAAAGUUUGUGAGCGCGUGUGGUCCACGCAACUGGAUAGCCGCGUUGUCAUAUACCAUGGCAGCUUCUUCAGCAGUGUCGUACGUACCCAACCACAACCGUACACGUCUAAGAGGAUCUCUGAUCUCAGCCGCCCAUUUUCCCCAAGGUCUCUGUCUCACACCUCGGAACUUCUUCCCUGCUCCUGCUGCUGUAGCCUUCACCGGCGGCAGCCUCGCCGGACCACCGCCCGAUUUUCCGGCGGAAGACCUUCUCCGGAUAUUCCUCGAUGAUCUACUUCUCCAAAUAGCGUCGCGUUCGCUUGAACAUGACUCUAUUGUAAUCUCGUUAACAAAUUUCUUCACUCUCUGUCGCCUAUAGACCUCACCUUCUUCGUCACUGGAGGAGUCAGUAGCGUCUGCAUCUGUUACUGAUAUCCGCACAACUCUUGGUGGUGGUUUGGUCUCUGGCUCCGGAUUUGACAAUGGCCUUACAAGUUUGGUGUGAUUUCGGUGCUCACUGAACUUGAUUGGAUUCAUUAGCAUAGCACUAUCUUGAUCCAUUUCGAGGGUUUUUGUUCUCUCUAAUCUUUUUCAGAUUUUGGGUUCUUUCAGAUUCGCAUUGAAAGUGAAGUGAACGUGGGGAGAGGGAGGAGGAAAGCGUGAAAUAGAGGGGAGAAAAGAAAAGGGUGGAGAUUCCUUUUUGACCAGACACCAGGGAGAAUAAGGAAAGAGAGAGAGGAUAUAAAGAAAGUUGAGAGAAAGAACACAACGUUAAAGAGAAGCUUGAAACGGAGAGGAUUGAAUGCUUUCUCUCUUUCUUUCUCUCUCAAAAAGUGUUAUUAAAGGACGAUAAAUUUCAAGGAAAGCUGCACUAAAAAAGGGAGUGUCUGUAGGAGCAAGAGAGAUGGGAAAUGUUAGACUGAAGGCUGAAGUAAUCCAAACUGGGAAAAAUUUAAGAACAGUACACGAAAAGCAGACACAGAGAUAUGGAGAGUGAAUGAGAGAGUGACCAAGAACUGGUAGCAAUACAAAGCAAAAAUAAGAAAUUUUCUUGGAAAGUCAAGGAGGUUAAAGAAAAGAAAAGGAAGGCUGUGACCCAAUUGCUUUACCGGAAAAAGAAGGGGAAUAAUCGAAUAAAUGUCUGGAAUCACCACCACCACGCUGUUGGAGAAACUGCUUUAAUU